UACGUAGGGGGCUAGCGUUGUCCGGAAUCAUUGGGCGUAAAGAGCGUGUAGGCGGCCCGGUAAGUCCGCUGUAAAAGUCAAAGGCUCAACCUUUGAAUGUCAGUGGAUACUGCCGGGCUAGAGUCCGGAAGAGGCGAGUGGAAUUCCUGGUGUAGCGGUGGAAUGCGCAGAUAUCAGGAGGAACACCAACGGCGAAGGCAGCUCGCUGGGACGGUACUGACACUGAGGCGCGAAAGCGUGGGGAGCGAACAGG
rnacentral:rRNA from 1 species